rnacentral:rRNA from 1 species
UACAGAGGUCUCAAGCGUUGUUCGGAUUCAUUGGGCGUAAAGGGUGCGUAGGUGGCGCUGUAAGUCGGGUGUGAAAUUUCGGAGCUUAACUCCGAAACUGCAUUCGAUACUGCGGUGCUUGAGGACUGGAGAGGAGACUGGAAUUCAUGGUGUAGCAGUGAAAUGCGUAGGAGAUCAUGGAGGAAGACCAGUGGCGAAGGCGGGUCUCUGGACAGUUCCUGACACUGAGGCACGAAGGCCAGGGGAGCAAACGGGG